GACGAACCGAGCGACCGUUAUUCGGAAUCACUGGGCUUAAAGGGCGCGUAGGCGGGCGGCCAAGUCAGGGGUGAAAGCCCCCAGCUCAACUGGGGAAGUGCCUUUGAUACUGGCCAUCUCGAGGGAGGUAGGGGCGUGCGGAACUUCCGGUGGAGCGGUGAAAUGCGUAGAUAUCGGAAGGAACACCGGUGGCGAAAGCGGCGCGCUGGACCUCUUCUGACGCUGAGGCGCGAAAGCCAGGGGAGCAAACGGG
rnacentral:rRNA from 1 species